rnacentral:lncRNA from 1 species
GGUGCAGUCAAGUACUUAUCAAGUCAGUGUGUGAGUGAAGAUGGAAUUGAUCCCUCUAAAUUGGUAAGAGAUAUGCAUCAGUAUAUUUCAAUUUAGCAAAAUCUUGACCAAGAUAAUCUAUGAGAUGAAUUUAAAAAGUUGAAAUAUAAUGUGGUCGACUUAAUUAGGGUUGACAGUUAAAUCCUAGAUCACCUUAAGCAUUUGGGUCAAAGGGAUAAAUUAUACGGUAACCAUACGCCAGUAGGUUCUAGAAAGUUGCUUUGCAAUACUUCAACCUAUCUGAUCAUCGGGUCAUCAUUGCUAAAUGGUUAUAUCGAUUGGUAUAGGAAGUUAUUCCUAU